GGAACUAUAGCUCAGUUGGUAGAGUGCUUGCCUUGCAUGCACAAGGCCCUGGGUUUAAACCCCAGCACCA
rnacentral:tRNA from 1 species